rnacentral:rRNA from 1 species
GAUGAACGCUGACAGAAUGCUUAACACAUGCAAGUCUACUUGAACUUCGGUUUGGGUGGCGGACGGGUGAGUAACGCGUAAAGAACUUGCCUCACAGUUAGGGACAACAUUUGGAAACGAAUGCUAAUACCUGAUAUUAUGAUUUUAGGGCAUCCUAAGAUUAUGAAAGCUAUAUGCACUGUGAGAGAGCUUUGCGUCCCAUUAGCUAGUUGGAGAGGUAACGGCUCACCAAGGCGAUGAUGGGUAGCCGGCCUGAGAGGGUGAACGGCCACAAGGGGACUCGGACACGGCCCUUACUCCUACGGGAGGCAGCAGUGGAGAAUAUUGGACAAUGGACCAAAAGUGUGAUCCAGCAAUUCUGUGUGCACGAUGACGUUUUUCGGAAUGUAAAGUGCUUUCAGUUGGGAAGAAAAAAAUGACGGUACCAACAGAAGAAGUGACGGCUAAAUACGUG